rnacentral:lncRNA from 1 species
AUGAGUGAGAUGGGGGGACAGGGACUGAGGAAAGUUGAGGAAGGGGAGCGGUUGAGGAGGGGUGAGGAAAGACAGGGGGUGAGGCUGGAGGAGUUGUUACAGGUUGGGGGUGUGUGUGUGAGACCUCUAGGCAGACACCUGGCCAUCUCUCUUCCCUCUUUACCUCUCAGACUCUGGGAUAUAUCAGACACACACACUACCCCCUCACACACACAUUCACCCGCUGACCCCCAACACACACCACCCCCACCCCCACAUUCAAACACUGACUCCCCACACAUGUAUACAGACCCUGAGCCCCCACACAAACAGUCUGACCCUCCGCCCACCCCCCCCUGCAGUCAGCCCCACCCCUCCCCGCCCACCGCCUCUUCUGAUUGGCCCAAUCAAGUUUCCACCUUCAACACCAACACAAGUCAUUGGUCCUCCUGGAGCUUGGACCGCCCAGAUGCCGUGGUUACGCCAUAUGACACACCUCCAGAUCGCUGCCUCCCUAAUAAGGCACACCUCUCCCACAGAAAAUACAACUCCCAGCCUGCCCCUGCACAGCAUGAACCCUGUGACCCUGAGGAGGCAGAGUUAUCAGAGCUGGACUUCCUGUACCGGGCCAGUCUCCAGGCAGGAAGUAGAGGUGGCAGCCCGGCCGGGAGGCUGCAGUGUAGGGUAAGAGGGCCAGCCCGCUCCUUCACUCCCAACACCAGCAUGGAGGGGAGUGUGUACCAGACUGACAGCAGCAGUACAAUGGUCCGCAGUCUGAGCGGCACAGUCAUCAACCCGCGUCGCCACCGUCUCACCGCAGCACGCAGCUUUGUGAGUUUAUCAUAUGCAAACACCACCGGAGGUUGGUGGCACCUUAAUUGGGGAGACCGGGCUCGUGGUAACGGCCGGAACGGAGUUAGUGGAAUGGUAUCAAAUACAUCAAACACAUGGUUUCCAUGUGUUUGAUGUCGUUCCAUUAGUUCCGUUCCAGCCAUUAUUAUGAGCCGUCCUCCCCUCAGCAGCCUCCACUGACACACACACAUGCACUGCUGCACUCCAGUGGUCAUGCUGUAGAGCUGCAUCUCUGUUUUCACCUCCAAUUCUCAUCUGCAAUACCAUCACACUGCUGUUCUCUCUCUCUCUCUCUAUCCCCCGUCUCUCUUUCUCUAUCCCCCGUCUCCUUCUGAAGGUGAAGCAGACAGAUGUCAGUGCCUCUGCUUACUUACCUAAUCUCCUCUGAGACCCUGUAUUGUUACACCAUCAUCAUCUUCGUCAUCACCAUCUUCAUCGUAAUAUGUAUUUUCAUCAUCACUAUCUUCAUCUUAGUCAUCAUCAGAUUCAUUAUCUUCGUCUUCAUAAUCAUCAUCAUAAUCAUUAUCAUAAUCAUUGUCAUAAUUAUCAUCACCCAGUCCUUUCAUGACCUCUUACCCUUCACCUCUGGGGCCUGUCCGUCACUGUGUUGUCCCUCCCCCUGCAGGAGAUGCCCAAUGGCACGGGGAGUUUCUGGUGUCUGACGGGGGUGAAGCUGACUUCAGACCACUUAAGACAGUGGUCUUCAGACCACUGACGUGCCUCCAUAUGCAUCUACGCUACAGGCACCUCCCAGGGCAGCUUGCUGGGGUCCUUACCCUCUACACCGCUACAGGAAACUCGUAGGGCAGCUCUCCGGGGUCCUAACACGCCACACCGCUACAAGCACAUCCCACAUUGGACCUCUAGGGUCCUAACCCUCCACAGUUCUACCGGCACCUCCCAGGGCAGCUCUAUGGGGUCCUUACCCUCCACACCACUACGGGGACCUCCCAGGGCAUCCUUCUAGGGUCCUAACCCUCCACAGUUCUACAGGCACCCCCCAGGGCAGCUCUAUGGGGUCCUUACCCUCCACACCGCUACGGGGACCUCCCAGGGCAGCCUUCUAGGGUCCUAACCCUCCACAGUUCUACAGGCACCUCCCAGGGCAGCUCUAUGGGGUCCUUACUCUCCACACAGCUACAGGGACCUCCCAGGGCAGCUCUUUGGAGUCCUAAUAGUCCACACCACUAAAGGCACCUCCCAGGACAGCUAUUUGCAGGUUCUCACCCUCGACACCGCUAAAGGCAUCUCCCAGGGCAGACAUCCGGGGUCCUAACUCUCCACACUGCUACAGGCAUCUUCCAAAGCAGCCCUGCACCUCACCCAUCGCCACGAUAGGGGGUUGGUCUAGGACCCCCCCCAACCCCAAACACACACCUCUCCCCACAUCCGUCCCUCAGUGGUCUACUAACCUCCCUCUACCCCCAUCUCACACCCUCCGCCCUUCUUCAACUAUUCAGUCUAUGCAGUCAUUCUUAGUCCCCCUCAGCAGGAAUUACUCUGAAACCCAAAACAACAAACUCACCUAAUUACACUUCUAGCUAGCUAGCUUGCGACCUGCUAGCCUGUUAGCCUCCUAAUAUAGUCCGACUCUGAACAUUAUCCUGCUAGCCUUCCCCUCUUUGGGUCUAUAAAGGAGGGAGUAGAUUAGCUAGCCUGGUUUAGCCUAUGAUCUCCCUGCUUUAUCUGCCCCAAUCAGAGGGGCUCUGGAACCUUUAGGUGACUGAAAGAUCCACAGGGGGAGGGGGUUACCGAUAAGCCACGGCUUCUUCCUUUUUCUUUAUGGGCAUUUCCUGUCUGAUGACAGCACAGCACACCUGGAUAUGUUGUUUCCAAGGGAACCCCAGGACUAGUGCGUACGUGCCUACAUAGCUACGUAUAGACUGAACUCUAAUAAUAACUAAAGUCAUGUACAGAAAAACGAUAUAUGAAACCUGUAUGUUAUUAAGACCUUAUGGAAUGUUCAUACUAAUAAUGAUAAUAAUGAAGAUAUUGAUACUUUAGUGGUGACUCCUGGUCCUGGAUUGAGUGACCUUCACAAGUGUCCAGCUGGAGGUCACCUGACUGACCGUUGUAAUGGCUAACGCUGCUCUCCCAUUUCUAUCGGGAGAAACUACCUUCCUUUUUUUUUUUUUUUUUACAGAUAACGGUAGCUAAAUGGAACAAACUUUUGCACACCUGAUGUAACGUGAGAGAGAGAGAGAGAGAGAGAGAGAGAGAGAGAGAGAGAGCUUUGAUAGAGCGAGGUUAAGGGAACUAAAUUGUAAUUUGGGAAGUAUGUUUGCUCAAGGGUACUUAGGAAAGUGUACUAGCUGAACGGUACUUGCUGAAGUGUACUUGAUGAAGUGUACUUGAUGAAGGGUAAAUGUAAUCUAAUUUAUUUGAGGCCUCAGGUUAACAUGAUUGGUUCUUAGUUACUGAGAUUCUCUAUCUUCUUCUGGACCUUUCAGUUCAGCUCUGACCCUGAUGUUACUCAGAUAUGAAUGGUGAAACACUACAUUAUAAAUAUACUUCAUAUAUAUAUAUAUAUAUAUAUAUGUACUGUAGGUAUUAGAGAUAUAUUUUAAGGCCAUGCAAUGAUAUAUUUGUAUCAUGGCAAUGUCUCUCAUCCUCCAGUUAUAACAGGGUUAUUUCUCUGACUUACCCCUAACUGAAUAACACUGACAUGUCUUGAAAAUGUUAUGAUAUCAUUUAACCUGCUGAACAUGUUAUGACAUAUGUACAUAUAAUAUGUAUGUAUAUACAUAAUAAGUACAUACAUGUAAUACAUUAUAACUAAUCCCUAUUUGGAGACCAAUGGCCAGUGCAGAGCGAGAUCUAGACAGAACUGAUAAAUGAUUGUUGUAUCUAAACCAAAGGUUGGCACUUAGACAAAGACACAGCUCUCUCUGUCUGUCUUUAACAUUGUGAUUUAAAAAAAAAAAAUGUAUUUAUUAAUUUGAUUAUUUUGUUGCUGUUGUUUGUGUUGUGGAUGUUGGAGAAUGUAGCCAACUGUAGCGCAUGAGUCUGCUAUGCAAAUCAACCUUCCCUCCUGACCCUUGACCUCUGACCUGACAGAUAGGAUGCAGGAAGUGGACACGCCCACGAACGGACGCUUUAUUUACGAAUUUAAGUCAAGAAGAUACGUGAUUAAAUGCUGCUGUUGAACUCUGUACUAAGUCAUAGGCUCGAUCCCAAAUGGCACCCGUCUCCCUAUGUACUACACACUACUUUUGGCCAGAGCCCUACAUAGGGAAUAGGGUGUGAUUUCCGAUUCGCACCAUAUACAUACAUAGUACUGAAGUGGUUCACUAUGUAGUAAGAAGGGAUAAUGUAUACCAGGGGUAUUCAACUCUUACCCUACGAGGUCCGGAGCCUGCUGGUUUUCUGUUCUAACUGAUAAUGAAUUGCACACACCUGGUGUCCCAGGUCUAAAUCAGUCUCUGAUUAGAGGGGAACAAUGAAAAGAAACACAGUUGAACUGGCUUCUAGGUCCAGAGUUGAGUUUGAGGGCUGUAUACUAUGCUAGGAACAGUCAAUGGAAAUUCAAUGCAAAGAGAGAGUGGAAGAAAGAGCGUGAUGACGAAUGAAAGAGAGUACGUAGAGAGGAGAUAAAAUGAUGUACUGUAUGUGUGUGAAAUGGAGAUGAUGUGAGGAUGAAAGAGGGCUAGGAGUCGUUUUUAGAGAGCGAGUUGUAUGUGUUUGUGUGCAUGUAGGGUGUUUGUGUGUGUUGGUACUGGGUAUCAUUGCUUGGCGAACGAGGGAAAGAGCGAUCCUGUAUUUUUGCAAUAAAGUUAUUACCACUGCUCUCUUAAUGGGGCGUAACCACUCAUCUGACUCUGUCUUCUCAU